UGCAUUUUUCAAAGAACUGGCCACUUUCUGUAAGAUGUCCGCUGUCAAUACGAACCCGCACGAGUGGGAGAAAUUUUGCUAAAUUUGACCAACGUGCAGCCCCCCAAGUCAACAUGAAAUUUCAACAAGGGGGCUCAGCUCCCCUGAGCCCUCCCUCCAGUACACCACUUGGCCUAUCUUCUAAGCAAGGAAUUUUUUUUUUUGCACUAUGCCUUGAAAGAUUUUUUUUUUUUCAUUUUUUUCUGGGAAUAAUUUUUUUUUUGGUUUUGCCCCCCCCCCAUCACUUUUCUAAUGGUCCGUCCCUUAGCUAGGAUAUAGAUGCCGGAAUAUAUAGAGGGCGUAUUAUACAGACACAAAAUGUAUAUAAUUAAAAUAACUAUAUAUUGAUAUAUUGAUGGAAUGAUUUAUAAUUGAUGUGAUGUAUUUGUGACCAUUGCGCAAAGAUAUUUCACAAAGGUUUAUUAUU